UUGUAAUAGAGAAAAGUUAGCAAACGCUGUUAAAUGUGGAGUAUUAGGAAAAUAUUAAGUAAACGAUGUCACCUUCUGUUGAUGGUCAAUGGCUAUUUCCCAGAGCAGCAUUCUGCGUUUAGAUCUGAUUAUUUUUAUUUGUUCAGAAAUGAAAAUAAUGUUUUCACCCUUCUCCUUAGCAGUUUCACAAGCUGGCAUUUUUGUGGGCGGUUGUGUGAUGUCGCUAAGAGUGUCCGAGCCUUGGAAACGCAACGGCUACUGCUACUGCUGUUUCACCUCCAGGACGCCAGACACCAAGUCUGAAAAUACAGAUGCUGGAAACUCCCCUUGGGUGGGGAUGAUCAAAGACCAAUCUGAUCCCGGGCGAGACUAG
rnacentral:lncRNA from 1 species